rnacentral:rRNA from 1 species
UACGUAGGUGUCAAGCGUUGUCCGGAUUUAUUGGGCGUAAAGCGCCCGCAGGCGGCUUGCCAAGUUCGAUGUGAAAUCUCCCGGCUUAACUGGGAGGGUGCAUCGAAAACUGGCAGGCUUGAGGCAGGGAGAGGGAUGUGGAAUUCCAGGUGUAGUGGUGAAAUGCGUAGAUAUCGGGAGGAACACCAGUGGCGAAGGCGACCUUCUGGGCCUUGCCUGACGCUGAGGCGCGAAAGCGUGGGGAGCAAACCGG